rnacentral:rRNA from 1 species
UACGUAGGGUGCAAGCGUUGUCCGGAAUUAUUGGGCGUAAAGAGCUCGUAGGCGGUCUGUCACGUCUGCCGUGAAAACCCGAGGCUUAACCUCGUGGCUUGCGGUGGAUACGGGCAGACUAGAGGUAGGUAGGGGAGAACGGAAUUCCCGGUGUAGCGGUGAAAUGCGCAGAUAUCGGGAGGAACACCGGUGGCGAAGGCGGUUCUCUGGGCCUUACCUGACGCUGAGGAGCGAAAGCAUGGGGAGCGAACAGG